CUUGAUUGAUCCUGCCAGUAGUCAUAUGCUUGUCUUAAAGAUUAAUCCAUGCAUUUGUAAGUAUGAACAAAUUCAGACUGUGAAACUGCGAAUGGCUCAUUAAAUCAGUUAUAGUUUGUUUGAUGGUAUUUGCUACUCGGAUAAGAGUAGUAAUUCUAGAGCUAAUACGUGCAGUAAACCCCGACUUCUGGAAGGAAUACAUUUAUUAGAUAAAAGGUCGACGUAGGCUUUGGCCGUUGCUAUGAUGAUUCAUAAUAACUCGAUGGAUCACAUGGCCUUUAUGCCGGCGACGCAUCAUUCAAAAUUUUGCCUUAUCAACUUUCGAUGGUAGGAUAGUGGCCUACUAUGGUGGUGACAGGGAAUUAGGGUUCGAUUCCGAAGAUAGAGCUUGAGAAACGACUACCACAUCCAAGGAAGGCAGCAUGCGCGUAAAUUACCCAAUCCUGAAAUAGGGAGGUAGUAAUAAUAAAUAACAAUACCCAGCUCUAUGAGUCUAAUAAUUGGAAUGAGUACAAUCUAAAUCCAUUAACGAGAAUCCAUUCGAGGGCAAGUCUAGUGCCAACAGCCACGAUAAUUUUAGCUCUAAUAGCGUAUAUUUAAGUUGUUGCAGUUAAAAAGCUCAUAGUUGGACUUACUAUGAGCACCGGUAUGCUCAUCCCUACUACCGACGAUACGCUCCUGGCCUUAAUUGGUUGGACCAUUCCUCCGGCGCUGUUACUUUGAAGAAAUUAGAGUGCUCAAAGCAGGCCUACAGUUGUAUACAUUAGCAUGGGAUAACAUCAUAGGAUUUCGAUCUAAUUGUGUUGGCCUUCGGGAUCGGAGUAAUGAUUAGCAGGGACAGUCAAGGGCAUUCGUAUUUCAUAGUCAGAGGUGAAAUUCUUGGAUUCAUGUAAGACGAACAACUGCGAAAGCAUUUGCCAAGGAUGUUUUUAUUAAUCAAGAAUGAAAAGUUAAGGGCUCAAAGAUAAUCAGAUACCGGCCUAGUCUCAACCAUAAAUGAUGCCGACUAGGAAUCGGUAGAUGUUGCUUUUAGGACUCCGCUGAUACUUAUGAGAAAUCAAAGCCUUUGGGUUCCAGAGGGAGUACGGUCGCAAGUCUGAAACUUAAAAGAAUUGAUGGAAGGGCACUACCAGGAGUGGAGCUUGCGGCUUAAUUUGACUCAACACGGGGAAACUUACCAGGUCCAGACAUAGUAAAGAUUGACAGACUGAAAGCUCUUUAUUGAUUCUAUGAGUGGUGGUGCAUGUUUGUUCUUAGUUGGUGGAACAACUUGUCUGGUUAAUUUCGUUAACAAAUGAGACCUCAACCUGCUAACUAGCUACACAGAGGUGAUCCUUCGUGACUAGCUUCUUAGAGGGACUAUGGCCUUUUAAGAUAAGGAAGUUUGAGGCAGUAAUAGGUCUAUGAUGCCCUUAGAUGUUCUGGCCCGCAUACACGCUACACUGAUGUAUUCAACGAGCCUAUAACCUUGGCCGAUAGGCCCAGGUAAACUUUGAUAUUUCAUCGUGAUGGGGAUAGAUCAUUGCAAUUGUUGGUCUUCAAGAGGAAUUCCAAGUAAGCACGAGUCAUUAGCUCGGAUUGACUACGUUCCUACCCUUUGUACACACCACCCGUCGCUCCUACCGAUUGAAUAGUCCGGUGAAGUCCACUGAACCUUAUCAUUUAGAGGAAGGAGAAGUCAUAACAAGGUUUCCAUAGGUGAACCUGCGGAAGGAUCAU
rnacentral:rRNA from 1 species